rnacentral:tRNA from 1 species
GGUUGUAGCUCAGUGGUAGAGCGCUUGCCUAGCAUGUGUGAGGCCUUGGGUUCGAUUCUUAGCACCA